CAGGAAAUAGUUUAAAAAAAAUUUUAAUUUUGGAGAUUAAUGUUAAAGGUUUCUUUUUUCUUGA
rnacentral:tRNA from 1 species